GCCUGGAUAGCUCAGUCGGUUGGGCAUCUGACUUCAGCUCAGGUCAUGAUCUCACGGUCUGUGAGUUCGAGCCCCACGUCAGGCU
rnacentral:tRNA from 1 species